rnacentral:rRNA from 1 species
UACGUAGGGUGCAAGCGUUAAUCGGAAUUACUGGGCGUAAAGCGUGCGCAGGCGGUUGUGCAAGACAGAUGUGAAAUCCCCGGGCUCAACCUGGGAAUUGCAUUUGUGACUGCACGGCUAGAGUGUGUCAGAGGGGGGUAGAAUUCCACGUGUAGCAGUGAAAUGCGUAGAGAUGUGGAGGAAUACCGAUGGCGAAGGCAGCCCCCCUGGGAUAACACUGACGCUCAUGCACGAAAGCGUGGGGAUCAAACAGG